rnacentral:rRNA from 1 species
GGCUCAGGAUGAACGUUGGCGGCGUGCCUAAUACAUGCAAGUCGAACGGGAAGGUUUCCUUCGGGGAGCUGGAGAGUGGCGGAUGGGUGAGUAACGCGUAACUGAUCUGCCCUGUAGACUGGGAUAACCUUUGGAAACAGAGGCUAAUACUGGAUAUGCUCGCGGUAGUUAGAGAGCCGUGAGGGAAUGCUGAGGCGCUACGGGAUGAGGUUGCGAGCCAUCAGCUAGUUGGUGAGGUAAGUGCUCACCAAGGCAAUGACGGCUAGGGGAUCUGAGAGGGUGGCCCCCCACACUGGGACUGAGACACGGCCCAGACUCCUACGGGAGGCAGCAGUAAGGGGAUAUUGCGCAAUGGACGGAAGUCUGACGCAGCGACGCCGCGUGGGUGAAGAAGGUUUUCGGAUCGUAAAGCCCUUUUCUAUGUGACGAGAGAAGGACGGUAGCAUAAGGAAUAAAGUGUC